AGAUUUUUGGAAUCGAUUACUGGUAACUUUCAGUGAAUUUUCAUUGCUUGAGUUAUCGACUAUUAAAUUCCUAGUAGAGUUUUCAUAAAAUUCAUACAUUUUCCAAAAUGCUGGCUAUCAGGAACCUUCUUAGGAGCAACCCAACAAUCGUUAAAAAUGUCGUUCAGCAGAGAAAUAUGAGCGGAGUCGCCAUUCCGCCAAGGGCCAAUGUUUCUAAAGGAGAGAUAAUUGUCCUAGCUGGUUCGAUGGUGGUGGCCUGGCUCACCAUCCCCGCUUGGGUUCUGGUCAACAUUAAACACUACCGUGACAAGAUCUAAGCGUCUAGAAAAAAUCAAUAUGUAGAGUAUAAUAAAAUUGUUUUAAGUAAACAUUAAUUUAACAGUU